rnacentral:lncRNA from 1 species
AUUUUGUUGGAUUGGUCUUCUGGAGACAGAAACGUAUGAUGGAGUGACACUGUUGCCAUGCUAUGUAUGGCUGCUGCGGUCACCUCCCGUACUGUGCAAACGGAACAAGUUUCUAAAACUAAUGCGUACUUGGGGGGCCUGUGAGUCUGUCACUGCCUGUGUUGGAUGAACAGAGUGACAGUGCCCAGAAUGAUUACACAGAAUGCUGAAAGGUCCCAAGGUGGAGUUAAAAGGCCUCGCUAUUUUCUUCUGGGAUCCUGGAUCCUGGCCCCUUUCAUCAAGACUAAGUUGGUGGCUAAUUAAAAAAAGAAGAAAUGGAAGAUUAAGUCUGAGAGGCCAAAGGAGAAAAUGGUUACCAGGUGGCAAGCACUGGACAGAACGUGACCUUUUCUGAGUAUGCAGUGGGGAUAAGAAGAUGAGCCAAGCCAC